rnacentral:lncRNA from 1 species
GGUGUGGUAGAAGGUGUUAUAGAAAGUAAGACGGUAGUGCAUGAGGGUGAGAAGGGUGAGCCAUCGGUAGAUCUCAGGAGGUUAAGUAUAGAGAGAUACAAAGGAAUUACAAAGAGUUAGAGGCUAUAGCUGAUCGGGUUCUAGCCUUGCCUCAUACACCAUAAGUGGGCUCGAGCAAUCAGGCAUCACCGUGGGGGCCCG